UUCUCAUCUGCAGGAAAACAACAUCACGGUUAGCCGCCACUGUCAAAUAGAAUGGCUCCAACACAACAAGUAUGUGUCCUGGCUUUUCAAAUGCUUCCUAAAUGCAGCACAAUCACAAGUGACCUAGUGAUCACUUGUGAUUGAAUCUUACGUCUGAAAACACGUGUUAUUCCUGUUGGUGUUAGAGCUGCACCUGACCGUUCUUUACAUAAUCUUUAAAUCUGUCAUUUAUUUUCUUGAUUAAUCCGGCAGUAGUUUGGUCCACAAAAUACUUAUAAUAAUUAAUUCAAAUUAUUAAGCAAAAUACCACUGAAACUGAUCAAAUAGAGUCAUAAUAUACAAGCAGGGGAUCUAUUUAUUGAAUUGAAGUGUCUUUCAGCUUGUUUGCAUUAGGUGCUUGAUGGUUGACCUGUGAUGUCACAGACAAAACAUCUUUAGCUGGCAGCUCAAUGUCACUCUGUGUCUCUCUAUCAUCCUUUAGCUGAUGGAGGAUAAUUUAGUCAGUUCAAACAUGCACCAGGCAGGAAUUCACCAAGUAUUUCUAACUGUUUUCUUCUUCUGUGAACAGCUUCUUCUUUUAUUUUCACAUCAAAGCCUGGAAGCAGGAACAGUGGAGCAUGUGCAGAGCACCCAGGCCUCUUUAGGUACCAUCGAAGGUAUACAUGCAGUAGUAAUGGACCUUGAGUUCAUCGAAGCGCAGAGUGAAGUGCAGGAUCUCUGCGAACUGUUUGGCCAGCGCCUGCUCCCUCUCCAGGUGCUGUGUAGGCGUGAAGGGCGGACACGUCAGGCACUCCAACAAACUCUGCAGAGCCUCCUCUGCAGACAAGCACACGUCACACGGCCACACAUUUAACACACUUUCAAAACUAAAGGGAUGUGAAAUGUAACGGAUAUGAAAAUUAAAUGUAGUGCUUUCACUCAUUCAUGGCUGUGGGCUGAAGGUGUAAUAACCCAGAUUAAAUGUGUUAUAUUUGUACCAAGUCUGAGAGAGAAGCUGUAGAACUUCUUGAGUUUGAUGACCAGCGGGCAGACGGAGUUCCAGGCUCGCUCCUGCAGCAUGUGGUCACUGGGAUUUUGAAUUGCCUGAAAAAAACAAAAAUCUCUAUUUAUUUAUAUUAUACUUUAAUUUCAGGAAAAAUCAAGAUCGUGGACCAUGUGAAUCUAAACAGUGUUGGUGUUUGUUAGACACACAGAUACUUAAAGUUAACUGUAUUUACUUGUAAUUAGACAUGAAAGCAGUGUGUUGUUUUGCUUAUUUGCUCUAAAGUGUUGUUUGUACACUCCUUACAUCUCUGAUCUCUUGGCCGGCGCCUUUGUACGCCUGCAGGCCCAACAGGAUGUUCUCAGAGUCCUGCAGGACGGAGUUCACCUGGUUCCACACGUCUCGCUCUCCUUCUGUCGGCUGUGCAUCUAACAGACAAACACAUGGCUCUGCCAGGUCUGCAGCCUGCAGUCAAGUUUACUGUUAUAUUCCCUGCAUUAUUACAGCAGGAACACAACACACAUGCCUGAAUAAGGACAUUGAUUGUUUCCAUGGUUCUGCAGAAACUAUAUUCCUUUAAAUAAACUAAAAAAAUUUG